GACAAGAAGUGACAGCUGAUGUCGUUCUUUGACAAAGCAAAGUAUGUGCAAAUAAGAUGGUACUAUAGGGAAUUAUUGAAUGUUUAAAUCUUGUCAGUUGAAGUUCACUCUGUUAUGCUUAGCGGUAGUGCUUUCAGCCAAAUGAUAGCAAGCUAACAUACUCACAGUGGCAGAGCUAGAAAAUUAAGAUUCAGCUGGUCUGAUGUCCACCUCAUACAUUUACUUAUUAUCGUGCUAACAUUAGCUAUUUAGAGGUGCAAUUGAUUACAUCUGUACAGUAUAUUGUGGGUGAUCUCAAGGUGACUUAUAACGAAUUCAUUGCCCACAGUAACAAUACUGUUAAAAAAGUAAUGUGUGGGAUAAAUGUCAUUAGUGCCAGUGCAAGGAAUCAUGACGUAGUGAUAAGGUGAGUCGCAAUUGAAGGGAAAAAUGUUGAGAGCCAUACACAAAUUUGAUUGGUUGAUUAAUGAGCAUUUUCCCUAAAUGAAUAAAAGGAAUUGAUGACAUUUUGAAAUAUGAAAUAAAAAUGACUGAAUUCAGCUUUACAAAAACUGUAUUGCAUCAGUCAGAUGGAAAACACAUUACUGUACGGAUAUUUUGUCCCACCCCUUUUAGCUCAAAUAUUUUACAGUAAACAAAGUAUCAGUUUUCACCAUAUGACUGAGGUUGAUUUGCAAUCAACCAAGUCAUAGCUCAUGAUUCUCAUGAGGGUCUGUACCAAACAACUGCCAUACCACUUGUAGUUAUUUGGAAAUGUUCCUAAAACUCGUAACAAGUUAAAGCUGAGGGAAAGGUCAAGAGAUCAUCAAAGCCUCUGAAAAGCAACUCCUCAAAUCAUUCAUACUGAUCAGUCGGUUAGUUCAAAUAUCAGACCGGACUCUGGAGCAAAGUUUAGGACCACAUUACUGACAUUAUCGCCUAUACAGCUGUGCUGCAAACAAGGCUUUUUAGGACAGGCCUUCAAAUGUGGUUCCUCUGCUUUGACCAUUUCAAAUCCAAGGCAUCUCAGAUGACUCCAUACCCAGCUGAAAAAGAAAUUAAUAGCUGCAGGUACAACUGAGGAUCAGCUUUUAGAUAAAAUAAAGACAGUUCACUCCUUUAGGAUCCAAGUUUAAAAAAAAAAAAAUGUUUUAUUGUUCCUGGAGAAAACCAUGUGUGUGAAAGUGCUGUUUUGAGCCCUUUCAGUUUUCUAUCUCCAUCAGUUCCUCGGGGUUUGAUUGGGCAUGCCUGGUGUGACUGGGUUGGGUUAGAGGCCAGAGUAAGUUGUCAGAGGUCAGAGGUUAUGCUACUGUGAGUGUUUUGGCUGGAGGUGAGAGACAUUCCUUGUGUGGUUUUGGUUUUGUGUGGAGGAAGAGAGUGUUUAAUUUUAGUUUACUAAAUGUAGACUGUAGACAGAAAAGGGCUAGACCGUUGUUGGACUACUUUGAAUUAUUUUUUGUUUUUGGUAUGUCACACACACCCAUCAUUUUGAUAGCAGUUUAAAUUUAAGUGUGUGGGUAUUUGCCACAAUGGUCAGACUAUAGUCUCCCUUCACCUUUUCUCCUGCUCUGACAAUGUUUUUCCACUUCUCUGCUGCUCUCUGUACCUGAGACAGAACCGACAACCGAGCCCAGCAGGGGAGGGGAAGGUCUCCGGUGUUUGACUGACAGACCAGUGAUGAGCACACAGAGAGGGGGUGGAGGUCAGAGGUCAGAGGUUGAGCUCUUAUAGGGGGGCUGUGAAGUCAAGAAGGGGGGAACAGAGGGAAAAGGGGGAACUUGCUAAUGAGGUAGGGCUGUCAUUGGUGUUGUACUUAAAGAAGCGAGAUAAAAAAACUCUAUAUAAUGAAAGAAGCAAAUAGUUGAUAGGUACACAAAAAAGGGAGGAACACUAUGGAAAGUCAGACUACACAAAUACAUAAAUUCUGGGAAGAUGCUCAUGAAACAAAAGCUAUGCAGUGAGCUUUUUUUGUUAGUAAUAGCCAGAGUUAGAUCAUUUAUUUCUACUGACAAAUUAAGUUUAUUGUAGAUACACAAAGCAUAAACAUCAUACACAGCUAGUAAAAAAAAGGUAUGUUUGACACCAAAUAUGAACAUUUCUGGUUGAAAAAAUUCAGCCAUCUGCAUUUUUUUUUCGUUCUAUCCCUAAAAGUUAGUAAAUGUUUUGACUACAUUACUCUCAUACAAACAUUUUGGUUAAACCAAUAUAUUUUUACUUGGAUUUUACAGGAUGAUCAUGACUUAUUGACAAACAAAACUUUAAUAAUCAGCAAAACUUAGGGAUGACACAGCUGUUUAUAUGUAAUGCAUAUGUAAUGCACAAACAUGGAGGUAAAACCUUAACAGCCAUUUGGACAGUUCAGUAAGAUCAAAAGCUUGUGUAUUUUUAAAGUAAAUAGGCCCAGCAUUAUUGAAGUGUUUAUUUUACAUUGCUUCCUUGAAAGUUUUACAUGAGAACGAGAGUUUAUUUUAUCACACAGAGAGAGAGAGAAAGAUUGUCCUGCAAGGUGCUGUCCAUCUCUGUGAAUUGUGUGUAGAUAUAUUCAAAUACCAGUUAAUGGUGGAUGUAGAACUGUAAGUAUAUUAUAACAGGAAACAAGUCAUAAGAAGGAGCAAAAAUGGAAUAACUAUGAUGUCCAGGAAUAAGUUCAGUAUGCAUAAUUCAUUCAACAAACAACACAGACAAGUUUGUUCUUCACACUUAUGGUUCAGAUUUUUAUCUGAAGCCUACCACCUGGUGGAUUUUCUAGCCAAACUUUUGAAAUAAAAAGGUGUCAUCAUCAAAAUCAAUAUAUUUGUAAGAGAAUGAGAAAAAGAGCAUUUUAUAUCGUAAUUAUGACUCUUAAAUUUCAAAUCCAUAGCAGAACUUGCCAAAAAUACACUUUAUUUAACAUUUGUACACUUAAUAACCCAGUAUGAGUCUUUCAAACUAAAUGUAGCUGCAGCGGUACACUAGACAAAUUCAUUGAAAGCUUUGACCUUUUAAAUGAUAAUGAUUAAAAUAUUUCAUACCUUUAACUGGUGAAUCCAGGUAUUUUAUAUGCACUGCUGAGGUGCUCAAACUUUCUUAAAGCAAUUAAGAGACUGCGAUUGAGAUUGUUCAUUUGAUCAAAUAAACAUACAGUGCAAUUUUAGACAAGAAAUUCCAUUUUUUUAGGGGGAGAGAUAAAAAAGGAGUAGGUUGAAGCUAUUUAGCUUAUAUGUACCUACUUCUAAUUCCCUCCUAUUUGUUUACCCUUUACAUGUCUCCAGAGUUUAGAAUUUCUGAUGUUGUCAAAAAGUAAACAAAGCUCCAGUCCAACAUGAAUAUGUAACCAAUCAUUAAUACUGAAACAAAGACUUAUACAAAUACAUAUAUACACCCAUACCUAUAUACAUGUAUAUACACACAAAUAUGCACAUUAUGUAUUCCUAGAAUACUCCAAAUCUCUCAUUUGUACCAUACCCAUAUACAAUAUAGGUGUGGCCAAACGAAAAUCACUUUUGAAAGUAUUUUUUAAUCAUACUCUGCUCUGAUGUACUUUUAAACUGUGCUAUUGUUUUGCUUUGUCUAAGUCCAUUGGGCAAGCUCUUCCACAGCUUCACCCUCACAACAGAAAGACACGUGCUUUUUAGUGUGGUACGAACGCCUGGUUAUUUUAAAUUUGGUGCCCCUCUUAAUAAGAUAAGAUAAGAACUUUAAUAAUCUUCGAAGGGAAAUUCAUUUAUAUAUAUAUAUAUAUAUAUACAUCCAUACCUAUAUACACACAAAUAUGCACUUUAUAUAUAUACCUAGAAUACUUAAAAUCCCCUCUCUUCCACCAAACAUUUUCUAUUUAUUACUAGGGAGUAGAUUGUUACUAGCUUUGUACAUUGUCUGUGCAGUUCUAAUUUCAAUUAGAUUGGCAAAUUUUAAUACUUUAAUACUAUAGUCCAGUAACCUUUGAAACCUAGGAGUUGCAGUGCUGAAUGUUAACAACUAGAUGUCACCCUUUAUCUACAUUUAGUCAACAACUACACUUCACUCUAAUGUCGUCCCUCUCUGUCUCUCUGCACUGAUGCACGCGCAUAAAGGCACACACACAUACACACACAAAGGAAAUUAUUCCAGUAAAUAUUUACCGUAUAUUUCACCAAAUCAAAACAACCUCUGAUUUUCAAGUGUCCACCACUCUUCUUCUCUCUUUAGGCUGAGCUGGAAUGAUUGAUCAGCACCCAUGGCUCAGGACGCACCGACAGGGGGCGCUGGUUCUGUGGGAUCCCGCAUGUCUGUCUGUCUCAGCGUGAGUCUGGUGUUCUACUACACACAGAGCAGAGGAUUAUGUAAUGUUUACUAUUAUGGCGCUAUAUCCUUCACGAGGUAAAGUCAUUUUUCUCAUGAACGUUGGCUUUUGUUCACAUGAAAUAUGCUUUACAGGAUAGAAAUGACAUGUGCGGGACGUCCUACUCACGCACGUGUCUUAAUCGAGAACAUGCACAUUGUUCAGUUCGUACAUACCGGUUUGUCUUCACUACUGCCUGCAAGUUACAAAUUUGGGGUUAGUCGAGUUUACGCCAGACCACGCCCCCUCGCUCCAGCUGGUGGCAACACUCUUGAUGACAUCACCGCAGCGGCCACCCAUUGGCCGAGAGACGUCGUGCACCUGCCCAAUCGCCUGCCGGUGAGGUGACGUCAGUCGAGCCAGCCCCGUUCACUUUCAGUGGAGUGGGCGGGGCGGAGAGAUUGUCGACGUCAGGGCCAGCGGGAUGCUGCGCGGUGAUUGGUCGGCAGCGGUGAAAGUGAGCGUCUGUUGCUGAGAGAAAAGCGAGGGGGAGUGAGGGAAAGCAGUAUGUGAGGGGCACUGACGAGUAUUCUGCACCAUAUAACAGUUGUCCAGUCUUUAGACAAUCUUUAUAUACGUGCAUGCAUGGCUGUUGGUCCCUUGUUAAUGCUUUUACUCAAAUAUCGUAUUAAUGACUUGAUAACAACUCUUAAAACUGUUUUAAAAGUGAGCUUUGAAGUGGAAAACCCGCAUUAUGGUGCUUCACUGCUGCUGCACCAACUUCUCUCCGGACGAACAUAGGGGUUGAUGCAUUACCUCCGUCUGCUCGGAGACGGCACUUCUGCUGUCAAUUAUGGUAAACAUACUCCUUUUCAGAAGGGGAGGGGACAUUUGUGUCUUUUUAUUGGAUAUCAGUUAUUUGCUCCCGCCUCUUGACCCGCCCUCAUGCUGUUCCUAUGGUUCCCAAAGC